GAUGAACGCUGGCGGCGUGCCUAAUACAUGCAAGUCGAGCGAGCGGACGAGAAGCUUGCUUCUCUGAUGUUAGCGGCGGACGGGUGAGUAACACGUGGAUAACCUACCUAUAAGACUGGGAUAACUUCGGGAAACCGGAGCUAAUACCGGAUAAUGUUUUGAACCGCAUGGUUCAAAAGUGAAAGACGGUCUUGCUGUCACUUAUAGAUGGAUCCGCGCUGCAUUAGCUAGUUGGUAAGGUAACGGCUUACCAAGGCAACGAUGCAUAGCCGACCUGAGAGGGGGAUCGGCCACACGGGAACGGAGACACGGUCCAGACUCCUACGGGAGGCAGCAGUAGGGAAUCUUCCGCAAUGGGCGAAAGCCUGACGGAGCAACGCCGCGUGAGUGAUGAAGGUCUUCGGAUCGUAAAACUCUGUUAUUAGGGAAGAACAUAUGUGUAAGUAACUGUGCACAUCUUGACGGUACCUAAUCAGAAAGCCACGGCUAACUACGUG
rnacentral:rRNA from 1 species